GAUGAACGCUGGCGGCGUGCUUAACACAUGCAAGUCGAACGGUGAAGGCGGAGCUUGCUCUGCUGGAUCAGUGGCGAACGGGUGAGUAACACGUGAGCAAUAUGCCCCUGACUCUGGGAUAAGCGCUGGAAACGGCGUCUAAUACAGGAUACGAGCUGCGAAGGCAUCUUCAGCAGCUGGAAAGAACUGCGGUAAGGGAUGAGCUCGCGGCCUAUCAGCUGGUUGGUGAGGUAACGGCUCACCAAGGCGUCGACGGGUAGCCGGCCUGAGAGGGUGACCGGCCACCCUGGGACUGAGACACGGCCCAGACUCCUACGGGAGGCAGCAGUGGGGAAUAUUGCACAAUGGGCGAAAGCCUGAUGCAGCAACGCCGCGUGCGUGACGACGGCCUUCGGGUUGUAAACCUCUUUUAGCAGGGAAGAAGCGAAAGUGACGGUACCUGCAGAAAAAGCGCCGGCUAACUACGUG
rnacentral:rRNA from 1 species